rnacentral:rRNA from 1 species
CUCAGCGCAUCGUCCGCAUGAACGGAUAGAUGCGGUAAUUCUGCUUGUAAUACGUGAGAAAUCGCCGGGCGGGAUGGAAAUUCGGCAGGCUUCCGAGGCCCCGCUUCCGCAAAACCGGCUGGCGUCCCGGGUCACCUGGCUGUCUCCCCUUGGCGGGGUGAGCGGAAUCCCUGGGACAGCCCCUAAGGCGGACCUGAAGAGUCCCCCUCGAUCGCGGACUUCAGACCUAUCAACUGUGGAGACUGGCUAGCGGCCAGCCUCGGUGAUAACGGGUACAGAGGAUCAGGGUUCGAUCCUGGAGAGGUAGCCUGAGAGAUAGCUACUACUUCUAAGGAAGGCAGCAGGCGCGCAACGUUCCCAAUGGCUCGACACGAGGCCGAGGACGUUAAUGGGCGUAGCGAUACCCGGCCCACAUCGGGCGGGGUAAUCGCAAUGGGGGCGUUGUAAACCUCCCACCGAGUAGCAAUUAGAGGACAAGUCUG